rnacentral:rRNA from 1 species
AACGCUAGCGGCAGGCUUAACACAUGCAAGUCGAGGGGCAGCAUGUCCAGCAAUGGAUGAUGGCGACCGGCGGAAGGGUGCGUAACGCGUGAGCAACAUGCCCUAUACAGGGAGAUACACCAGGGAAACUUGGUCUAAUAACCCAUAGCAUUCAUUGAAGGCAUCUUUAAUGAAUUAAAGCUUCGGUGGUAUAGGAUUGGCUCGCGUGACAUUAGCCAGAUGGUGAGGUAACGGCUCACCAUAGCAAUGAUGUCUAGGGGUUUUGAGAGGAAGGCCCCCCACACUGGGACUGAGACACGGCCCAGACUCCUACGGGAGGCAGCAGUGAGGAAUAUUGGACAAUGGAUGGAAAUCUGAUCCAGCCAUGCCGCGUGCAGGAAGACGGCCUUAUGGGUUGUAAACUGCUUUUAUACGGGAGCAAUAAGGGUUACGAGUAAUCCGAUGAGAGUACUGUAUGAAUAAGGAUCGGCUAACUCCGUGCCAGCAGCCGCGGUAAUACGGAGGAUCCGAGCGUUAUCCGGAAUUAUUGGGUUUAAAGGGUGCGUAGGCGGCCAUUUAAGUCAGCGGUGAAAUUUUGCAGCUUAACUGUAACAGUGCCGUUGAUACUGUUUGGCUAGGAUUUGGUUGUAGUGUGCGGAAUGUGUGGUGUAGCGGUGAAAUGCUUAGAUAUCACACAGAACACCGAUUGCGAAGGCAGCACACUAAGUCAUUAUUGACGCUGAGGCACGAAAGUGUGGGGAUCAAACAAAAGGAGAUACCCUGGUAGUCCCCGCCGUAAUAGAUCAUAAAGGGGUAGGAGGUAUCGGCCCCCUUCUGUGCCGCAGCUAACGGCAAUAAGAAUCCCCCCCCGGGGAGGACGGGUCGCAAGGCUGAAAAUUCAAAGGAAUUGACGGGGGCCCGCACAAGCGGGUGGAGCCAUGUGGUUUAAAUUCGAUGCAACGCGAAGAACCUUACCAGGUCUUGACAUCUGGCGAAUUCUUAGGAAACUAGGAAGUGCCUUCGGGAGCGCCAAGACAGGUGGUGCAUGGUUGUCGUCAGCUCGUGUCGUGAGAUGUUGGGUUAAGUCCCGCAACGAGCGCAACCCUUGCUAUUAGUUGCUAACAGGUUAAGCUGAGCACUCUAAUGGGACUGCCUGUGACAAGCAGGAGGAAGGUGGGGAUGACGUCAAAUCAUCAUGCCCUUUAUGAUCUGGGCUACACACGUGCUACAAUGGAUGGUACAGAGAGCAGCGAGACAGUGAUGUGGAGCGAAUCUCAAAAAGCCAUUCUCAGUUCGGAUUGUAGUCUGCAACUCGACUACAUGAAGUCGGAAUCGCUAGUAAUCGCGAAUCAGCAUGUCG